UCCUGUCUGAAUAUGGGGGGACCAUCCUCCAAGGCUAAAUACUCCUGACUGACCGAUAGUGAACCAGUACCGUGAGGGAAAGGCGAAAAGAACCCCGGCGAGGGGAGUGAAAAAGAACCUGAAACCGUGUACGUACAAGCAGUGGGAGCACCCUUUGGGGUGUGACUGCGUACCUUUUGUAUAAUGGGUCAGCGACUUAUAUUCUGUAGCAAGGUUAACCGAAUAGGGGAGCCGGAGGGAAACCGAGUCUUAAUUGGGCGUUAAGUUGCAGGGUAUAGACCCGAAACCCGGUGAUCUAGCCAUGGGCAGGUUGAAGGUUGGGUAACACUAACUGGAGGACCGAACCGACUAAUGUUGAAAAAUUAGCGGAUGACCUGUGGCUGGGGGUGAAAGGCCAAUCAAACCGGGAGAUAGCUGGUUCUCCCCGAAAGCUAUUUAGGUAGCGCCUCGUGAAUUCAUCUCCGGGGGUAGAGCACUGUUUCGGCUAGGGGGCCAUCCCGGCUUACCAACCCGAUGCAAACUGCGAAUACCGGAGAAUGUUAUCACGGGAGACACACGGCGGGUGCUAACGUCCGUCGUGAAGAGGGAAACAACCCAGACCGCCAGCUAAGGUCCCAAAGUCAUAGUUAAGUGGGAAACGAUGUGGGAAGGCCCAGACAGCCAGGAUGUUGGCUUAGAAGCAGCCAUCAUUUAAAGAAAGCGUAAUAGCUCACUGGUCGAGUCGGCCUGCGCGGAAGAUGUAACGGGGCUAAACUAUGCACCGAAGCUGCGGCAGCGACACUAUGUGUUGUUGGGUAGGGGAGCGUUCUGUAAGCCUGUGAAGGUGUGUCGUGAGGCAUGCUGGAGGUAUCAGAAGUGCGAAUGCUGACAUAAGUAACGAUAAAGCGGGUGAAAAGCCCGCUCGCCGGAAGACCAAGGGUUCCUGUCCAACGUUAAUCGGGGCAGGGUGAGUCGACCCCUAAGGCGAGGCCGAAAGGCGUAGUCGAUGGGAAACGGGUUAAUAUUCCCGUACUUGGUGUUACUGCGAAGGGGGGACGGAGAAGGCUAUGUUGGCCGGGCGACGGUUGUCCCGGUUUAAGCGUGUAGGUGUGUGUUCCAGGUAAAUCCGGUU
rnacentral:rRNA from 1 species